GCCGGCUUAGCUCAGUGGUAGAGCAACUGAUUUGUAAUCAGUAGGUCGCGAGUUCGACUCUCGCAGCCGGCUCCA
rnacentral:tRNA from 1 species